CCCAGGAACCCUUUGUGACUUAUACCUUACUGUUGCCUCGGCGCAGGCCGGCCCCUCCCGCGGGGCCCCUCCGGAAGGAGGAGCAGCCCGCCGGCGGCCAACUAAACUCUUGUUUCUUAGUGAAUCUCUGAGUAAAAAACAUAAAUGAAUCAAAACUUUCAACAACGGAUCUCUUGGUUCUGGCAUCGAUGAAGAACGCAGCGAAAUGCGAUAAGUAAUGUGAAUUGCAGAAUUCAGUGAAUCAUCGAAUCUUUGAACGCACAUUGCGCCCUCUGGUAUUCCGGAGGGCAUGCCUGUUCGAGCGUCAUUUCAACCCUCAAGCACUGCUUGGUGUUGGGGCACCGCCUGUGAAAGGGCGGGCCCUGAAAACUAGUGGCGAGCUCGCCAGGACCCCGAGCGUAGUAGUUUAUAUCUCGUUCUGGAAGGCCCUGGCGGUGCACUGCCGUUAAACCCCCAACUUCUGAAAUUUUGACCUCGGAUCAGGUAGGAAUACCCGCUGAACUUAAGCAUAUCAAUAAAGGCGGAGGAA
rnacentral:rRNA from 1 species